rnacentral:rRNA from 1 species
UACGUAGGGGGCAAGCGUUGUCCGGAAUCAUUGGGCGUAAAGAGCGCGUAGGCGGUCCGGUAAGUCCGCUCUGAAAGUCCGGGGCUCAACCCCGGGAGGCGGGCGGAUACUGUCGGGCUAGAGUCCGGAAGAGGCGAGUGGAAUUCCUGGUGUAGCGGUGAAAUGCGCAGAUAUCAGGAGGAACACCAAUGGCGAAGGCAGCUCGCUGGGACGGUACUGACGCUGAGGUGCGAAAGCGUGGGGAGCAAACAGG